rnacentral:rRNA from 1 species
GACGAACGCUGGCGGCGUGCUUAACACAUGCAAGUCGAACGAUGAUGGGACUGCUUCGGUGGUUUUUGAUUAGUGGCGAACGGGUGAGUAACACGUGAGUAACCUGCCCUUCACUCUGGGAUAAGCCUUGGAAACGGGGUCUAAUACUGGAUAUUACUUGAGCCUGCAUGGGUUCGGGUGGAAAGCUUUUGUGGUGGAGGAUGGGCUCGCGGCCUAUCAGCUUGUUGGUGAGGUGAUGGCUUACCAAGGCGACGACGGGUAGCCGGCCUGAGAGGGUGACCGGCCACACUGGGACUGAGACACGGCCCAGACUCCUACGGGAGGCAGCAGUGGGGAAUAUUGCACAAUGGACGGAAGUCUGAUGCAGCGACGCCGCGUGGGGGAUGAAGGCCUUCGGGUUGUAAACCUCUUUCGUCAGGGAAGAAGCCUUUUGGGGUGACGGUACCUGGAGAAGAAGCACCGGCUAACUACGUG